GGUGGCGUGGUGUAGUCCGGUCAACAUGCUGGUCUGUCAAGUCGGAGAUCGCGAGUUCAAAUCUCGUCGCCACCG
rnacentral:tRNA from 1 species